AAAAAGCCGCAAACUCCCAUAAAUGCAAAAGUCUAUCAUCUUUUCGCCUUUUUGCCUUUUACCCAUUUUUUUUAAUUAUUUUCUAAAAUUCUUUUGCAGUUAACUAACAUAAUCAUUUUUCCACCUUUGAUUGCUUCAAAAGAUUCGAUCUUCCAACAGAGAAGCCCGGAUUCCUCUUUAUUAACAUUAUUGUACAUCAUCCCGUGAUAGGCAACUUCCUCCUCCUCCUCCUCCACCACCUCGUCUUGAAAAAGGAAAACAAGAAGAAGAAUAAUGCAGCAGAGAAUCUGUCUCCUGCUACUCAGAUAAGUUUGACUUGAUGGGGGCAAGUAAUUCGAGGGACAACAAUUUGAGGCAAUCUUCAUCAUCGUCAUCGUGGGAUCAAUACAACCAGUACCCUCCCUCGGUGGGUUAUUCACAAGAUAGUUACCCGCAAUCAUAUCAGCAAGAUAGUUAUAGUUACCCCUCUCGGCCUACUGUUCCGGCAUAUGGACCACCACCACCGCAGCAGCAGCAGCAACACCAUUACCAGGGUACCUCUUCCAGAGUUAUGGCUACGGGGGUCAGGCGCCUGCUGCGGAGAGGAAGCUUGACAGGAGGUAUUCAAGGAUUGCUGACAAUUAUAAUUCAUUGGAAGAGGUGACUGAAGCUCUUGCCCGUGCUGGCCUUGAAUCUUCAAAUCUCAUUGUCGGUAUUGACUUCACCAAGAGUAAUGAAUGGACAGGUAGGAGGUCAUUUCAUGGGCGAAGCUUACAUCACAUUGGAAAUACUCUGAAUCCCUACGAACAAGCAAUAUCUAUUAUUGGUAAAACAUUGGCAGCUUUUGAUGAGGAUAACCAGAUCCCCUGUUAUGGAUUUGGAGAUGCAUCGACACAUGAUCAAGAUGUAUUCAGCUUCUAUCCUGAUGAUGGAGUGUGUAAUGGAUUUGAGGAAGUAUUGAGUUGCUACAGAGAGAUAGUUCCUCAGCUGAAACUUGCAGGACCGACAUCAUUUGCUCCUGUUAUUGAAAUGGCCACAACUAUUGUUGAGCAAAGUGGAGGACAAUAUCAUGUCCUGUUGAUUAUUGCAGAUGGGCAGGUGACUAGAAGCGUUGACACUGGGCGUGGUCAAUUGAGUCCCCAGGAAAAGAAAACUGUUGAAGCAAUUGUGCAAGCCAGCAAGUUUCCCUUGUCCAUAAUAUUAGUUGGGGUUGGAGAUGGACCCUGGGACAUGAUGAAGGAAUUUGAUGACAACAUUCCUGCUCGAGACUUUGAUAAUUUUCAGUUUGUCAAUUUUACGGAAAUCAUGGCAAAAAAUGUACCUCAAUCUCGAAAAGAGACAGAAUUUGCGCUUUCAGCUUUGAUGGAGAUCCCUGCUCAAUAUAAAGCAACAAUGGAGCUUGGUUUAUUAGGUGGGAGGAAAGGCUAUUCUCCUGGAAGGGUUUCGCUGCCACCUCCUAUGUACGGCGCAGCUUCAUUCAGUGACAAGAAACCUUUACGGGCAACUAGUUUCCAGAAGAGCACAAGUUCUUAUUAUGACCACAGCAGCUCCUUUGACGCGGCUCCAUCUGCUCCAAGCUCUACUUACGAGAGCCAGCUUUGUCCUAUUUGCCUUAGUAACUCGAAGGACAUGGCCUUUGGUUGUGGUCAUCAGACGUGUUGCGAUUGCGGACAAGAUCUUCACGUAUGCCCAAUCUGUCGUAGUCCAAUUCAGACCAGAAUAAAGCUCUACUAAGCCAGCAUCUCUACAACAUCAAUAUCCACCGACAGCGCGUGUCUGCUGCCAUUUUUUAUUAGCUAGCUAGCGUUCCAAAUUCUUUUAUGAUUUGUUUGUAUGUGUGUAAAAGGCGGUUUCAUGAGGAGAGGUAGUUGGUUGCUUGGAUCGUUUCGAGUGCUAAAAGGAGGAAAGAGUGGGGGUUUCAGUGCCGAAUAGUAACAUCAGAAGAUGCAACUGACUCUUGGGAGUGAGUUGGAAACAGCGGCUUGGCUGAGAGUAAGAGCAUCCUGUCAUCUUUUCUUGUACAGCGGUAGCGGUUCUAAGAUUCGUUGUAGGAGGAUAGCAAAUAAACUAACCCUGUGGACUACUUUUCUGCAGUUUGCGCUCCUAUGUGGUUCCUUUAUUGUCUUGAGCAAAAAUAAUGUGUCUCUGAAUCGUUUGCAAUCAAAAAUCAAAUGAUGAUUUUACAGUCUUCUUA